rnacentral:rRNA from 1 species
UACAGAGGGUGCGAGCGUUGUUCGGAUUUACUGGGCGUAAAGGGCGCGUAGGCGGCCUCCGCAAGUCAGUUGUGAAAUCUCCGAGCUUAACUCGGAAAGGUCAACUGAUACUGCGGGGCUAGAGUGCGGAAGGGGCAACUGGAAUUCUUGGUGUAGCGGUGAAAUGCGUAGAUAUCAAGAGGAACACCUGCGGCGAAGGCGGGUUGCUGGGCCGACACUGACGCUGAGGCGCGAAAGCUAGGGGAGCGAACGGG